rnacentral:rRNA from 1 species
AUUGAACGCUGGCGGCAGGCCUAACACAUGCAAGUCGAGCGGAUGAAGGGAGCUUGCUCCUGGAUUCAGCGGCGGACGGGUGAGUAAUGCCUAGGAAUCUGCCUGGUAGUGGGGGAUAACGUCCGGAAACGGGCGCUAAUACCGCAUACGUCCUGAGGGAGAAAGUGGGGGAUCUUCGGACCUCACGCUAUCAGAUGAGCCUAGGUCGGAUUAGCUAGUUGGUGGGGUAAAGGCCUACCAAGGCGACGAUCCGUAACUGGUCUGAGAGGAUGAUCAGUCACACUGGAACUGAGACACGGUCCAGACUCCUACGGGAGGCAGCAGUGGGGAAUAGUGGACAAAGGGCGAAAGCCUGAUCCAGCCAUGCCGCGUGUGUGAAGAAGGUCUUCGGAUUGUAAAGCACUUUAAGUUGGGAGGAAGGGCAGUAAGUUAAUACCUUGCUGUUUUGACGUUACCAACAGAAGAAGCACCGGCUAACUUCGUG